rnacentral:rRNA from 1 species
UCAUUAAGGAAACAAAUAACAACGC